GUUGACCUCGGAUCAGGUAGGGAUACCCGCUGAACUUAAGCAUAUCAAUAAGCGGAGGAAAAGAAACCAACAGGGAUUGCUCUAGUAACGGCGAGUGAAGCAGCAAUAGCUCAAAUUUGAAAUCUGGCGUCUUCGGCGUCCGAGUUGUAAUUUGUAGAGGAUGCUUCUGGGCAGCCACCGACCUAAGUUCCUUGGAACAGGACGUCAUAGAGGGU
rnacentral:rRNA from 1 species